AUCCACGCCCACCUGUCCGCUACCGCCUCCAAUCCUGGGCCAGGAGCUUCAGACAGGCGCACUGUUCGGCCAGUGGCAACAAGGAGCAGGAAGCUGCGUGCUAAUCCCGCCUGCAAAAGCUGGAAGAGAGGGGCGGAAUGAAAGAACCAAUCAUGAGCCAGAGGCAAAGAACAGAGUAACCAAUCCUUGGGUUGAAAAUGAAGUAUGCGGGCACCUGGGCCAGAUAGACACUUGACCUGACAAAUGGAAAAAAAGAUUGAUGAGCUGAGCAUGAUGAACGAGAAGUCGGAAGUGAGUCAGCAGGAUAGCACUUAGAGCCUAAAAAAGCAAGCAGGACAUCAGAAUGCAUAAGCAGGAAUAUAAUGUGCAGGAAGUGGGAGGUGAUCUUCCCUUUCUUCCAAGAACUGGCUCACCCCAUAAGUUGUCUGCAGAGACUUUGCAGAACUUGGACCAGGCCCAGGAAGAUUAAAGGACUACAAAAGGAGCAACUCAUAUUCAACAGUGCUGGGUGCUCAACACCUGUUCUCUCAUGUGAUCAAUCAUCAAUAUGUCCCAUUUUGCAAAUGAAGAAACAGACUCAGGAAGGCAAGACAUGUGCUCUUUCCAGGCACUGGACUAGUCAACUACAGGGAUUGAUAAAACAAAAUCCAUGACCUCAAAAGCACUCAGUCUAGUGGGGAGGAGUUACAACACAA